CAAGAGCGUAUAUUAAAGUUGCUGCGGUUAAAAAGCUCGUAGUUGGAUUUCAGUCUAGGAAGGUUAACUCGCCGAAAGGUUGUACGUUGAUUUUCCUCAGACUUCGUCAGAAGCUCGUGCUGCACUUAACUGUGUGGUACGAUGUUCUGACCUUUUACCUUGAGGAAAGUAGAGUGUUUCAGGCAGGCUACCCAGCUUGAAUACAUUAGCAUGGAACAAUGAAAUGGAUCUCGGUUCGAUUUCGUUGGUUCUAGAGCUGAGGUGAUGAUCAAUAGGAACAGGCGAAGGUAUUCGUACUUGAGAGUGAGGAGUGAAAUCCGAUGAUCUCUUAAAGACGAUCCGAGGCGAAAGCAUUUGUCAAGGAUGUUUUCAUUGA
rnacentral:rRNA from 1 species